CCAGGAUCCAAACCCGUGGACCCUGGGCCAGCGAGAAGCGGAACGUGCGAACUUAACUGCUGCGCCACCGGGCCGGCCCACGGACAGUUUAAUAAGCAGACAGACAACACACUAGUGAACAGAAUCAGCUCCUGGCAGCCGCCCUUCGACUUCUGUCUCUCUGAAUGUGACUUCUCCGGGCACCUCACGGAAGUGGAUCAUACAGUAUUUGUCCUUUUGUGUCUAGCUUAUUUCCCUCAGCGCAAUGUCCUUAAGGAGGUUGGUAUUGUUACCCCAUUUUCCAGAGGAGCAAGCUGAGGCUUGGAGAGCCUUGGCUGGGACCACGCAGCUGGGAAGUGGCCCGGCUGGAAUUGGGCCCCUCUGUCCUGAAGCCUGAUCUCUUAUCCACUGGUUCUGCGACUGGAUGGGACCUCCUCUGAUGGAGAAAUUGAGGCCCUGAGAGGGGCAGGGAGCUGUCCAGGGUCCCUCGGACAGGGUCCAUGGUCCUGCCUCCCAGCCAUGCACUGUUUCUAGUGCCCACAGGGCCUCCUGCAUCCUGUAUGUGACCCACCCAGACAGGAGGAAACUCUGGGGCCUCAUCUGCUGGGUACCCUGGGCCUGGCCCCCUCCUACAGUGACUG
rnacentral:lncRNA from 1 species